UACGUAGGGGGCUAGCGUUGUCCGGAAUCAUUGGGCGUAAAGAGCGUGUAGGCGGCCCGGUAAGUCCGCUGUGAAAGUCGGGGGCUCAACCCUCGAAUGCCGGUGGAUACUGUCGGGCUAGAGUGCGGAAGAGGCGAGUGGAAUUCCUGGUGUAGCGGUGAAAUGCGCAGAUAUCAGGAGGAACACCAAUUGCGAAGGCAGCUCGCUGGGACGUAACUGACGCUGAGGAGCGAAAGCGUGGGUAGCAAACAGG
rnacentral:rRNA from 1 species